GGGUCUAUAGCUCAGCUGGUUAGAGCGCUGCUCUGAUAAGGCAGAAGUCGAUGGUUCGAGUCCAUUUAGACCCACCA
rnacentral:tRNA from 4 species